CUUCUGUGCUCUAGCAUCAUACUCCUCUCGACCCCUACGCCUCUUGGCAUGCUCUCGAGGAGGAGGUGAUGGAAUCUCAGAAGUGGCGAAUAAGGCAGUCAUCACUGUAUCCUCAGCAGGCUCUGCAGAAGGGGCUUCAGACUCAAGUACCCUAGCCUCUAGGAUCAUAUCAAUAUCUUCUCGCAGACUCUCAACCGCAGCCUGAAGGGUCGACACGUCCACCUGAGGGGCAGGCCGGGCUAGCACCCGCAACUCAAAAGCGUCUAAGCGCUGAUGAACCUCAGCGAUCUUCCGCUUCAAGUGCUAGACCAUUUUACGCUCCAAGCGCUCCUCCGCCUCAGCAAGAGACCUUUGCAUCCAAGGAUGGAUGUGAUGCAGAAGUGUGGCCAUCUGAACCUCUAGUCUCUGGACUCUAACAAGCGGGACCAAAGCGGGGAACGGGGAUGAGCGAGAGGAGGUAGGGGCAGUGCUACUACUCGGGAUAGACUUGACCGGGGUAGUGUCAGUGGUUUCAAGAGCAGUCUGCGUAGCCGUUCGAGCAUGUGCUACCGUAUCCGCCAUAUUUUCACUAAGUGGAGGCAACUUAGGUAGUCCAUAGGCAUCAAUUGUCAUUUCCAACAACACAUUUGCGUAAAAUAUUCCAUCCAUCAAGCUAUAGUAUAAGUAUAUUACCUUAAGUAGUCCAUAAAAUUCAAUUAUCUUUGCCUCCAAUACUUCUUCAUUAAACAACCUCUAAGCACUCUGACAUUGCAAAGAUCGUAAAAACAGACACGGUCAUAUAAUAAACUCUCCGACACCAAGCAAAAUAACAAAAUAAAGAUCUACAAAGCUGAAUACUAGGCUCACACCCUUUUGAGAGCUUGACAAGAACUCUUACCGGAUAGUACACCUUUGACAACUGAAUUUUUCAACAGUCUUCAUCAUUGAAGAACAUCAAGGGCGGCGGAUAAAGAUGCAGAAAUGGAGAACUGAAAAAAGUGGAAAGAGAAGAAGGAUCAAAUUAGG
rnacentral:misc_RNA from 1 species